rnacentral:lncRNA from 1 species
CGACAACAUAAUUCUUGGUUUGAUUCUGGCCGAAGCAACAGAAUGCGUGGAUUCGUUAUCCGAAUCGGGUUCUGGCCGAAGCGACAGAAUCAUGCCUGCAAAACAAAAAACAACCUGCAAAACAACUAUAUCAGUCUAAAGGAUAUAUUUAUUGAUUUACUGACCUUGCCGUGCGGAGCUGCCUCUCAUGCUGCUCCUCCUUAUGCUCAAUAAAUCCUUGAUUGAUCUGUCCGA